rnacentral:lncRNA from 1 species
CUCUGGGAAAAAGCCAACUUUAAAAGAGCUGGCAAUCUCCAUCAUGUCCCUGUCCUCGGGUUUCUAAACUAGAGACUUUAAGGAACAUUCUUUUGGAAACCCUGCUAUGUUCUCAAGGGGAAAAGAGAUUCUGCACUAUCUCUGCUUAUAAGACUUUGUGAAGUCAAUAGAGAAGUGGGGGUUAUGCCCUCAUCUUCAUACAAGGAUUCAAAAGAUUGGGAGUGGAGUGGAUGCUGGCAGCAGCCUGGACUUCCUUCUAUAAAGGAAAACAAGAAAAACAAGCAGCAUAGUGAAGAGGUGACUGUCCUCCAGGAAAUUCCUUUUGCAUACCUUGUUGACUGUGUGACUGGAAAAGUGAUUACAUU